ACCAAACUAAUUAGUUUGGAAUUAUGCAGAUAGGCGCCACGUGGCCCAUCCGACGGCCACAAAUGGAAAGGAAAAAAAUUAUCGUGUUUUUAAAAAGAGAGGAAAAGAGCAGCAGAAAAGAGCAUCCGUAGAUUCGGCCACAUGGCGUCCAUUCGCACUGUCCCCAACUAUUAGUUUGGGGACGGUGUUCAUAAAAUUUUUGUUCCGUUCAACAGAGUAUCUUCAGUCACAGCGCUUUGACGAUUGGUAUUUAAAAUUUAAUUAUUUUAUAUUUUUAAUUAAUUUUAUUUUAUAAAAAAUAAACGAAACGAAUAGUUGUGACAGAUUUAUCGAUACUAAGAAAUGUUUGGCUAUAAGUAAAAUUGUGAAAAUUAAUUUUUCGUAAAAUAAUUUAUGUUUAGUUAUAGUAAAAUUGUGAAAAAUAAUUUUUCGUAAAUUAACUUUUAGUGGAAUAAAAAUUUUACAUUUUGUAGUCUUUCGUUUGUAGAAAAACUUAGUUUUUCAUCAAAAUUUGUUUAGUUGAAAGCAAAAAAUCUAUAUUUAUUUGCUUCACUGAAAAAAUAAAAAAAAUUUUACGUAGCUUGAGUUUUUAUUUUUUAC
rnacentral:lncRNA from 1 species